rnacentral:tRNA from 1 species
GCUCCCGUAGUUUAUCUGGAUAAAACAAGGCAUUCCUAAUGCCUAGUGCUAGGUUCGAGUCCUGGCGGGAGCA